AACGAACGCUGGCGGCAUGCCUAACACAUGCAAGUCGAACGAGACCUUCGGGUCUAGUGGCGCACGGGUGCGUAACGCGUGGGAACCUGCCCUUAGGUUCGGAAUAACUCCCCGAAAGGGGUGCUAAUACCGGAUAAUGUCUUCGGACCAAAGAUUUAUCGCCUUUGGAUGGGCCCGCGUUGGAUUAGCUAGUUGGUAGGGUAAAAGCCUACCAAGGCGACGAUCCAUAGCUGGUCUGAGAGGAGGAUCAGCCACACUGGGACUGAGACACGGCCCAGACUCGUACGGGAGGGAGCAGUGGAGAAUAUUGGAGGCUGGGGGCAAGUGCGAUACAGCAGUGCGGGGGGAGAGAUGCAGGGGUUAGGGUUGUAAAGCUCUUUUAGACGGGACGAUAAUGACAGUACCGGGAGAAUAAGCACCGGCUAACUACGUG
rnacentral:rRNA from 1 species